rnacentral:lncRNA from 1 species
AGGUUUAGAUGAGGUCACUAUGGUGGGGCCUUCAUGAUGGGAUUAGUGCUCUUAUCAGAAGAAACCAGAGCCUUGCUUGCACUCUCUCUGUGAUGAGACAGCAAGAGGUGGCUGCCUGCAAGCCAGGAAGAGAACUCUCCAGAACCUGACCGUGCUGGCACCCUGAUCUCAGCCUUCCAGCCUCCAGAAAUGAAGACAACCUCAGGGGUUACCUCCACGGCCACCAACUCCAGAGGGCUGUCUGCUCUACACCUCUGCUCAGUCCACUUCUGGCAGGAGCGGAGGACUUCCGUGCCAUACAGAAAGUCUCACUGGAAUUGUGUCUGUUGAAGAACCCCACAUCCUAGCACAGAUUUGGAAGGCUGGAUUCCUUGCUGGCAGCAGUAGGCUCAUCAGAACAGGAGGUCCAGGCUGCCUCUCAAAAUCCAGGUGAGAGAAUGCCACACACCACACAGGUAUUGAUGGGCUCACACAUCUCCAUCAGCCCUGUCCUUGGAGGGAGGCUGAGCACUAAGGACAAGUUUGGCCUGGUGACUGAAGAUACUCUGUGGUUGGCCUUACGGGUCAGUUUAUCCUUCUGGAAAGCUGUCCCUAGAGGUUUGGGUGUGACAGCUCCUGCCUUCAUUCCCUCAGCCUUGAUUACAGUGGUGGUAGGGAUCAAAUGCCCAGGAUUUUCCAGUCUGCCUGUUGCCAAUAUGAGUGCUUGCCUAUUACCCAAGGGUCCUCAUGAGACACCUCUGGCCGGCAGCCCAAGUGCCGUGGGGGUAGUAAUAAACUCUUACUGCUUUGUAAGUGCAGCCUUCAGCACAGACCCUGGCCAAAAGCGUCUGAUUCUUAUCAGAGGCUGAAGGACAGGUUUUGCUGGAGUUUCUAUGCCCAAACUUGAAAAGCAAGUUCAUCUGCCCCUUUACUCUGCAAACAUGGGGUUCCAUCUUAUUCUUGAGAAAAGGCCAAACACUCCGCCUCCAUAAUGACUCUAGAGAUCACUGUGUGGCCUAGUGACCACUGGCUGCUGGUCACUGGAGCAAGGCUGACCAACUGUGACACUUUGCCUGGGACUGAGAGGUCUCCUGGGACUUGGGAUGUUCAAUGCUAAAACCGGGGAAGUCCCAAGCAAUCCGGGAUGAGUUGAUCACUUUAACCAGAACUGAUCCUUGUCCUCUUAGACCAGCUCCUCAGCAUCCACACGAUGUACAACUCAGCCAAAAUCCAUGGUGGAAGGACAAAGAAAGAGCUGGAUCUGGAACAACCGAGGCCCCGCUGUUCUUUGCCUUGUUUAGGACUCUCACUGUGUUCAGAACCCUCGUAGACAUAGGGUAGUCUUCGUCCUCCUAGACUUGGCAAGGGAAGGAGAGAGGAGGAACAGGGAUUGUCAUCCCCACAUGCCUGGACAGUAUUCUAAGUCCCUUCCAAAAUGGAAUGUUGAUAGUUAUUUGUAGGUUGAGAAAUGUAUGACUA